UACAGAGGUGCCAAGCGUUAGGCGGAAUCACUGGGCUUAAAGCGUGUGUAGGCGGAUGUCUAAGUACCUUGUGAAAUCCCACAGCUCAACUGUGGAACUGCUCGGUAUACUGGACGUCUUGAGCCACUUAGGGGUUACCGGAACAAAUGGUGGAGCGGUGAAAUGCGUAGAUAUCAUUUGGAACGCCAAUGGUGAAAACAGGUAACUGGGAGUGUGCUGACGCUGAGACACGAAAGCGUGGGGAGCAAACAGG
rnacentral:rRNA from 1 species